rnacentral:lncRNA from 1 species
CCGGUACAGAAAUGGGCAUCCCAGUAUGGGAACAGGCAUCCCAGUAUGGGAACCUGCAUCCCGUGAUUGGAACAAGCAUCCCAGUAUGGAAACGGGCAUCCCAGUACAGGAAUGGGCAUCCCAGGGAAAGACGGGCAUCCUGGAGGGAACAGGCAUUCCGGGAUGGGAACCUGCAUCCCAGUAUGGGAAUGGGCAUCCCAGUACAGAAAUGGGCAUCCUGAGGAGAACAGGCAUCCCAGUAUGGGAACGGGCAUCCUGGAGGGAACAGGCAUUCUGGGAUGGGAAUGGGCAUUCCAGUAUGGGAACUGGCUUCCUGGGGGAAACAGGCAUCUCAACAUGAGAACAGGCACCCCAGUAUGGGAAUGGACAUCACAGGAUGGGAACCUGCAUCCUGUGAUGGGAAUGAGCAUCCCAGGAUAGGAACAGGCAUCCCAGUAUGGGAACGGGCAUCCCGGGGUGAACGGACAUCCCAGUAUGGGAAUGGGCAUGCCACUACAUGUAUCCUGUUACAGGAAUCUACAUCCCAGUAUGGGUAUGUGCAUCCCAGUAUAGGAAGCUGCCUCCCAGUACAGGUAUAUGCAUCCCACUACACCCAUCCUGUUACAGGAAUCUGCAGCCCAGUACGGGUACCUGCAUCCCAGUAUGGGUACACACAUCCUGGUACAGAUGUGUUUAUCCUGGCACAGGUACCCAUGUCCCAGUAUGGCUCUGUGCAUCCCACUACAGGAACCUGCACCCCAGUAUGGGUCCCAGCAUCCCAGUAUGGGUCCCAGCAUCCCAGUACAGGUCCCAACAUCCCAGUACAGGUCCCAGCACCGUGCAGAUGCUGCAGCUGGCAGAGGUGCCCACAAGUUUUGCCUCUGUUCCCGUUAGGGCACCCACAGCCCAGCCCAGCACCUUGCAUCCCAUCCCCCUUAGCAUCACCUCCUGCCCGCACCAGCUCUGCUCCAUCCCCGUGUGGGCACCCCACAGCCUGGUCGGGCUGUGUCCCCCCACCCUGGGACCCCUUUCUGCCCUGACAGCCCAGAAGAUCCCACACACAAGGGGAGCAGCGCGGCCCCAUCCAGCCCUGGAGCUCUCCAG